rnacentral:rRNA from 1 species
GACGAACGCUGGCGGCGUGCCUAACACAUGCAAGUCGAGCGAAUGAAGUUCUUUCGGGAAUGGAUUUAGCGGCGGACGGGUGAGUAACACGUGGGCAACCUGCCUCAUAGAGGGGAAUAGCCUUCCGAAAGGAAGAUUAAUACCGCAUAAGAUUGUAGUACCGCAUGGUACAGCAAUUAAAGGAGCAAUCCGCUAUGAGAUGGGCCCGCGGCGCAUUAGCUAGUUGGUGAGGUAACGGCUCACCAAGGCGACGAUGCGUAGCCGACCUGAGAGAGUGAUCGGCCACAUUGGGACUGAGACACGGCCCAGACUCCUACGGGAGGCAGCAGUGGGGAAUAUUGCACAAUGGGGGAAACCCUGAUGCAGCAACGCCGCGUGAGUGAUGACGGCCUUCGGGUUGUAAAGCUCUGUCUUCAGGGACGAUAAUGACGGUACCUGAGGAGGAAGCCACGGCUAACUACGUGCCAGCCGCCGCCGUAACAC